GCCAAACAGCUAGCUCAAUUAUUAGGAUUAACACCACAAUAUUUUCCAAUCUUACUUAACCAAACCACAAAUAAAUAAACCAUUUUCCUGCCUUAGUAUGGGCGACAGAAAAGGCACUAGAAGCAAUAGAACUAGUACCGCAAGGGAAAGCUGAAAAAGAAGUGAAAUAACCCAUUUAAGCUUAAAAAAGCAGAGACAAAUCCUCGUACCUUUUGCAUCAUGAUUUAGCCAGAAUUUCAGAGCAAAGAGAAGCUUUAGUUCUCACCCCCGAAACCAAGUGAGCUACCCCGAGACAGCCUUUAUUAGGGCCAACCCGUCUCUGUGGCAAAAGAGUGGGAAGAUCUCCGGGUAGCGGUGACAGACCUAUCGAACUUGGUAAUAGCUGGUUGCCUAAAAAAUGGAUAUAAGUUCAGCCUCGUACUCCCCCGCCCACACAAACAUUAUUAUACUAUGAGAUGAGGAAAAAUACGAGAGUUAGUCAAAGGGGGUACAGCCCCUUUGAACCAGGACACAACCUGACCCAGGAGGUUAAAGAUCAUACUCAACAAGAUACACCGCUUCAGUGGGCCUAAAAGCAGCCACCUAUAAAGAAAGCGUUAAAGCUCAGACGGACUUAAAAUCUAUUAUACUGAUAUGCCCAACCUAAACCCCUACUUAUAUUAGGCCAUUCCAUGCCCCCAUGGAAGAGAUACUGCUAAAAUGAGUAACAAGAAGGUAAGCCCUUCUCCCUGCCCACGUGUAAUUUAGAUCGGACCCGCCACUAAUAAUUAACGAACCCAAUUAAAGAGGGAAAAGUGGUAUACAAAAAAAUCAAGAAAAUCCCACACAAACCAAUCGUUAACCCCACACCGGAGGGCUCAAAGGAAAGAUUAAAAGAAUUGGAAGGAACUCGGCAAACACAAGCCUCGCCUGUUUACCAAAAACAUCGCCUCCUGCAAAAAUCAAUGUAUAAGAGGUCCUACCUGCCCAGUGACUAAGUUAAACGGCCGCGGUAUUCUGACCGUGCAAAGGUAGCGCAAUCACUUGUUUUUUAAAUAAAGACCUGUAUGAAUGGUGAAACGAGGGCUUAACUGUCUCCCUUUUCUGAUCAGUGAAAUUGAUCUACCCGUGCAGAAGCGGGUAUUAGUAUACAAGACGAGAAGACCCUAUGGAGCUUAAGACAAAAGGUCAACUGUGUUAAAAACCCCUAAUUAAAGGAAUUCAACAAAACAGUAACUGAUUAACGUCUUCGGUUGGGGCGACCACGGGGGAAAAUAAAUCCCCCAUGCUGAAUGGGAUAUGCUCCCUAAACAACGAGGCACACCUCUAAGUCACAGAACUUCUGACCAAAAGAUCCGGCAUUAGCCGAUCAACGGACCAAGUUACCCUAGGGAUAACAGCGCAAUCCUCUUCAAGAGUCCUUAUCGACAAGAGGGUUUACGACCUCGAUGUUGGAUCAGGACAUCCUAAUGGUGCAGCCGCUAUUAAGGGUUCGUUUGUUCAACGAUUAAAGUCCUACGUGAUCUGAGUUCAGACCGGAGCAAUCCAGGUCAGUUUCUAUCUGUAAAGCUACCUCUCCUAGUACGAAAGGACCGGAGACAUGAGGCCCCUGUUACCAACACGCCCCACUUCCACUUAAUGAAAUCAACUUAAUUAAAUAAAGAAGAGCAUGAAAUACCCAAAGAUAUUUGGAG
rnacentral:rRNA from 1 species